UGCUCUAUUCCAUCCCCGCUCAUCUGUGAAAAUGGCAGCAAACACUUCCUUAUGAGAAUGUGGUGAAAAUGGAUUAUGUGGUUGGUGCAUUUGGAAUUCUGCAAAGGAAAUGGGCUGCAAAUCCAGAUCUCAUCACAGGGAGACCAGAGAGACAGGGCACCAGCCUAGUGAACUGAUUUCCAAAAAGCCCAGACUUUAUGGAAAUCCUCGCCGACUCCCGAGAAGCCUGCUAAUCAAGGGAGGGUGAUUUCCGAGAGCUCCCCAUCUGCCUUCCUCCCUCUGUUUGGUUAGUUCGGGAUACAGGGAAAACUUUGAAGAAUGAGAAAUCAGAGUCAAUUGUGGACAAACUUCUGGAAUAGUACCCGCAAAAAUAGGCUUUGACAAUAUCAUCUUCGUCAUGGUUGAUUGUAAGUGAUUCAUCACUUUAUCACUCCUUUGUUAUUGUAAAAAAAAAAAAAAUACUGGAGUCCUGAGUUUCUAAAUUAAUAAAACCCCUCAUCGACGACACACUCUUCCUUUAAUAACUUAUUCCAGACACAGACCCAUUGAAUGAACAUGCACUGAUCAUAUGCUUAAAUGGAUCACAGUACAGCAUGGAAUUAUCCAUGCCUCUGUAAGUCGGGAGUACGUUGAGGUUUUCUUUGGUUAAUUCAUGGGGAGAAAGUAGGAAGGAUGGGACAGGGGACAAGCAGUUAUGAUGCUAAACAGAAAAGGGAUCUGAGUUUGGACAAAAGGAGCCUGAGAUGGCAUGCUAUUUAAAGGACUCUAGCUUUCUAAGGUUACAUGCUGCCAAAAAUCCGUAUGAAAAUUACAGUCUUUGGAUCGAAUUGGGCAUCAUAUGGAUAAAAUA